GACGAACGCUGGCGGCGUGCUUAACACAUGCAAGUCGAACGGAAAGGCCCUGCUUUUGUGGGGUGCUCGAGUGGCGAACGGGUGAGUAACACGUGAGUAACCUGCCCUUGACUUUGGUAUAACUUCAGGAAACUGGGGCUAAUACCGGAUAGGAGCUCCUGCUGCAUGGUGGGGGUUGGAAAGUUUCGGCGGUUGGGGAUGGACUCGCGGCUUAUCAGCUUGUUGGUGGGGUAGUGGCUUACCAAGGCUUUGACGGGUAGCCGGCCUGAGAGGGUGACCGGCCACAUUGGGACUGAGAUACGGCCCAGACUCCUACGGGAGGCAGCAGGGGGGAAUAUUGCACAAUGGGCGGAAGCCUGAUGCAGCAACGCCGCGUGCGGGAUGACGGCCUUCGGGGUGUAAACCGCUUUCGCCUGUGACGAAGCGUGAGUGACGGUAAUGGGUAAAGAAGCACCGGCUAACUACGUG
rnacentral:rRNA from 1 species